ACAAUAGUAUGGGAUAAAAACACAAACGAGUCAUGUAAAAUAAUGCACAGCCAACACUUGGAUGAUGAUCACACAAUUUGCUAUCAUUCAAAAUUUAUUCAAAGUAAAGAAUUUGCUCACAAGUUACUCUGCUGAUUCGUACAUAUGAAGAAGGUCCAACUGAAGACUAAUCAAGAACUUUUGAAGAAAACCACUUCUAACAACUAUCUGAAGAAUACAUGUUGUACAAGAAGAUCUAGAUUCCAC
rnacentral:lncRNA from 1 species